UUGCCCUCACUGUUGCCCUGGCUAGGGGUCCCGGGCUUCCGGGUGGCCCCGUCCUUGGCUCAGGCUCCAGCACCACGGCCUGCAGGGACUCCCACAAGCCUCUGGCCCUGUCCCAACAGCAGCCCCCCAGGCCAGCUGGCCCUGCUUCAGUGGCUCAUUGUCAGCCAGACGUCUGGCUCCACCCGGGCUAUGACGGGGCUGAGGUCACCUGGGGCCGAGAGGCAGCCUCCCUCGGUGUAGACCUGGGCUGCUACGAGCAGGAGCCGCAGGCACGAGCCUGAACUAGAGUGGAGUCGGGUGGGGAGAAGGAACGUGGCGGCUUCAACCCCAGGAGCUCCUCGCCCCUUUCUGGAAGCUCCCAGUCUGAUGGGGUAACACCUCCCGCCUCGGGGCACCACCCAGACGGCAGGCUUCCUCCUAAGGGAGCCCCGAUUCAGGUGGGUGGACGAAGGGCCUCUGUCCCUGAGCAGGUGCCCUUGCUGACAGAGAGCAGAGCUGAGGCCGCGCCAGCUGGUCCUCUAGGCUCUCGUGCCAGCACUGGCGUUUGGCAAACAGUGGCUACACCGGCUUGCCCGCCAGUGCCCUCCCGGAACCUCCCCAGCUUCCUCCCAGCGAGCAAAUAGUCUGGUCUGAUGGCCGAGUCCCACACGCUGACUGGGCCCUGCCUCUGUGGAGUCCCUGAGCUGACAGACACGUCCCUAAAUGGACUUCCUUUUUUUUUUUUUUCUUUUCUUUUGCCUCCAGGGUUAUCUCGGGACCUCAGUGUGAAUCCACUGCUUCUGGAGAAAUGGAGAGAGGAGGGAGAGGUGUGCCCCUGCCCGCCGCCCCCCAGUGGAUCUUCUGUUCUCCCCAGUGUUCACAGCUCUUGCUUCUCAGGCCUGAAGGCAGAACCUCCCUCUGGAGACUUCCUUUUGCCUCGAGUGCAGGUCCAAGAAGGAAACAGAUUGAGCCAGGCGGUGGCGCACCUGGUUGAGCGCACGUUAUUAUGUACAAGGACCUGGUUCAACUCCCCAGGCCCCACCUGCAGGAGGAAAGCUUUACACGUGGUGAAGCAGGACUGCAGGUGUCUGUCAUCCUCUCUCCCUAUCACUCCUCCUCUCUCAAUUUCUGGCUGUC